UGGAGCUCUGGUGCGGCAGCCCGUUCUGGCUCAGUACUUAUUUCCACACUUAGAGGAUUGAUUCUCUUUUUAAAGCGACUGGUUGUUUCUUCUCGGGUUGUGAAACGCCUUCCUCGACGUUAGAACUGGUUUCAACCCACGCCGAAAGACAGAAGAGAGGGACGUGAAGAAGUCCCCUUCCAAGAAACCACAUCAGGAAAGAGUGCUGCUGUUACACCUACUGUACAGAGAGGACAGAGCCACGCAUGCGUGCUGGGCUUGUUUUUCACAAAGCUCUUCUUAAAGUGAGCUGGCAGCCAGCGAGCUCCCGUCUUUGUACAGAGACCGCAGAGCUGGAGAGCAGCUGUGAGCAGCAUCUAGCGUUGUGACUUUUUAAGCAAUCCCAAUGAAGCGCUUGUAGAGCCCACACUGAUCCUCCCUGCAGUCUUUUUCGCAGGGCAGAGAAAUUGAUCAGUGUUAAGAAAAGAUCACAUUUUUAAUGAGAUCUUGACUUUUCUUCCCCCCCCCCCUUUUUUUCUAACAGUAUAUUUUUAUAGACUUUGUUAUUAGAAACAACAACAUGGUGCUGGGGAAGGUGAAGAGUUUGACAAUAAGCUUCGACUGUCUUAAUGACAGCAAUGUCCCCGUCUAUUCAAGCGGGGACACAGUCUCAGGAAGGGUAAAUUUAGAAGUUACGGGGGAAAUUAGAGUCAAAUCGCUUAAAAUCCAUGCAAGAGGACAUGCAAAAGUACGCUGGACUGAAUCGAGAAAUGCUGGAUCCAACACUGCCUACACACAGAAUUACACCGAAGAAGUAGAAUAUUUCAACCAUAAAGAUAUCUUGAUUGGGCACGAAAGAGAUGAUGACAAUUCCGAAGAAGGUCUCCACAUCAUUCAUUCAGGACGGCAUGAAUAUGCAUUCAGUUUUGAGCUUCCACAGACACCACUUGCUACCUCAUUUGAAGGCAGACAUGGCAGUGUGCGUUAUUGGGUGAAAGCAGAAUUGCACAGGCCUUGGCUUCUACCAGUAAAAUUAAAGAAGGAAUUUACAGUCUUUGAACAUAUAGAUAUCAACACUCCUUCAUUACUGUCACCCCAAGCAGGCACAAAAGAAAAGACUCUGUGUUGCUGGUUUUGUACCUCAGGCCCAAUAUCCUUAAGUGCCAAAAUCGAAAGGAAGGGCUAUACCCCAGGUGAAUCAAUUCAGAUCUUUGCAGAGAUUGAGAACUGCUCGUCCCGGAUGGUGGUGCCAAAGGCGGCCAUUUAUCAAACACAGGCAUUCUAUGCCAAAGGAAAAAUGAAGGAAGUAAAGCAGCUUGUCGCCAACCUGCGAGGGGAGUCCCUGUCAUCAGGGAAGACUGAAACCUGGAAUGGCAAACAGCUGAAAAUUCCACCUGUUUCCCCAUCAAUCCUUGAUUGUAGUAUAAUCCGUGUGGAAUAUUCUUUAAUGGUAUAUGUGGAUAUUCCAGGUGCAAUGGAUUUGUUCCUUAAUUUACCACUUGUCAUUGGUACCAUACCGUUACACCCGUUUGGCAGCAGAACAUCAAGUGUGAGCAGCCAAUGUAGCAUGAAUAUGAGUUGGCUUGGUCUGACACUGCCUGAAAGACCUGAAGAACUUGGUUCGAACUGCGUGUACUUUUGCCUUCAGCACCUCCUAGCUAUGCAGAAGUGGUCACUGAGGAGCAAAGACAGUCCAGCCUAGCACCUGUAGCUGCUUGUGAUGACUUUGAAAGAGCACUUCAAGGGCCAUUGUUCGCCUACAUCCAGGAGUUCCGUUUCUUGCCUCCUCCACUUUAUUCUGAGAUUGACCCAAAUCCAGACCAGCCUUCAGAUGACCGGCCAUCCUGCCCUUCGCGUUGAAGGAAUGCCUCAUAAGAAGAAUUGACUUGGGUCUGAGUUGUAUUUUUGCUGUGUUGAGGAUAAGGGCAUCCUUUUGGAGACACAUGUUGAAAGGGGAAGAUCUUGCCUAAGAGAAAAGAUGAAAUAACGAAACAACCUGUGAUUAUGCUUUUCAAGUCUACGGCAACAUCAUAGGACUGCUCUUCAUGCUUGAAGACCUGAGCUUUCCCUCCCUGUCGUUAUCUUGGCACAUACUAAGAGCAGCCUUAAUAGCCUACACUCAUGUGUCAAAAACACUCACCGUGUUGCAAGAGGGAUAACUUCCGCUUUUGAUUUGAAAAUUUGCACAUGCUCGAUGCUUAUGUUGUGCGGUUCAGUGUCACUACAGCUAUUUCUCAUUUAUGUUGGGACUGUUGUUACCCCCUUCUAACUUGUUUGUGGUCCGCACAACAAGGAGCAAAAGAAAGCUUUGAAAACUUUAUGAUGACAAAUGCACUGACUUUUUUUUUUAUUCAGAAAACAAAACAAUAUAGCCUGGACUUUUCUUGCGUAUGCACAUGCUCUAAACUGUCCCAGUAAGACUGAACUGUGAAUCAGCUCUUCAGCUUGGAUACUAUUGUGGAUUGAUUACAAACAUCAAAUGCCUUCAAGCCAAUCCUUGCUGUAUGUUUUGCAGCCUACUGUAGUAGAUAAGCAACAAUGUGUGAGGGGGCGGGGGAAGAAUAACAGAAGGAAACUAAUAGGAGUCUUCUUCAAGAUUGUAUACCUUCUUGAUUCCUUUUAAAAAUGUGUUGCCUUUCUACUAUUACCACAAACAAAAAUUUUGUUACAGACUGCCUAAAAUCACUUAAUCUCAGGUGAACAUCACUUGCCAAAAUGUUGAAAUGCUAUUUGUGUUUAUGUUGCACUGUUGAGUAUUUUUUUCCUUCUAUUUUUGUUAUUCUAUUUGUUUGGAAAGGGGGCGGGGCUUGGAAAAGGGACAUGCACAAAGAAAUCCAUCCUUGUUUCUUAUUAUCUUUCUGUAACAUGAGACUCAAUUAAGAAAAGUCUGGUCAAGUUACAAUGUUCAGAAAAGAGCCACCGGAGGUCAAUAAUUUCUGGAGAAAAGUUGUGCAUGAUUCAUGUAGUGAUUCUCAGAAAGGUUUCCCUGAUAGUGAAGUAGGUAGAGGAAGUAAAAUUAUUUUUAUACAUAGUUAUUUCAUGUUCACAGAUUUUGUACUAAGCAAUUUGUAGUGAGCUUGGAAGACACGUAUAGAGGGAGUCUUCACUUGGAAGGACAGUAUAUUUUAAAAGAGAAGGUUGUUUUUAGGACAGUUCCUCUGGUGUUUCCUGCCCAGAUUCCUUUUGCUUCAAGAAUGAAGAACUGUAGGGGAAAAAUUGGUAAAAAAAAAUACAGCUGCAAAAUAAGGAGGCGGCCCUGAAAUAAUAAAAUCAGUAGCCGUAGAUAGCUGGCAUAGAAUUGCUUUGCUUGUGUAAUUUAGAUACCUGAAAGGAAACUCAUAAGAUCUUCAGAUGACUGGGCAUUAACUAACUUGCCUUAAGUAUAAGGGAUCAGCUGGGGAGUGAUAGUUUUAGACCUUUUGGUACACAACUAGUACUUUGCCAUCCAUUGACACACUUGAAAAAGAAAUAUGCAGCUGAUUUUUACCAAAAGCCACCUUGAUGGUUAAGUGCAGAAUGACCACAUUAUAACUGCUAUAUUGUUUAAUUCUAUACAUGUUAAUACAUCUGGUUUAUAGGUUGCUUUGCUGGGGUGAAGCUCCACUGACUUAAGUUCCAUCUAAGGCUUCAUAACAAAUAGUGUAGGCUUUUCCAUAAGUGGCCUUCAAGAAAACAUGGACAGCACUUCAUGUUUGAACAAUAACAGGGUGAAAAAUACGGCAUAAAAAUGAGUCGCGUUUUAAGUGAUUCAGUUAGAGAGUUUGGCCUUCAGCAAGCAAACUUAAUAUACUGGAUAAUAAGGAAACUGAGUGAUGAACAUUUAAAAAACAUUUUUGUGGAUGUCCCUCUUCUAUCGAGGAUUAGAACAUUUUGAUGGAAUGGUGGCAUAAAAGGGCAUUUGGUGGUUUUAUUAUUAUUUUUCUUUGCUGUUUUUGUUUUAACCAACUAGGGAACAAUUGCUGUUAAGCAUAGCAUUACAUUUAUCCCAAUACAACUGAAAUUUCCAUACAAAGCAAGAUUGACCAAUAUUGUAGUAAUUGGCACUGCAGCACAUCAAUUUGCGAUCAGUUUUAAAGUUGUAGAUACUACUAAAUUGUUCUUGCAAAAAACCCCACCUCUUUUACUCUUUUGUGGCAUUACUGUUUAUCCCUGAUUUCUUAAAAUAUUGGUCAAUUUCUGAACAUUGUAAAAUAUGAGGUUAAAAGCUGUAGUUCAGAAUUCAAAAUAAUUUCCUACUAUUAUUUUGAAUUGGUGGAAAAUAAGUAAAAUCCAAAACGUUAGAAAAACAAGUGCAAUAUUUAAUGUUUGCUUUAUAGAUUAUAUUCAAUGGCUGUUUGUAUUAUAUUUUUCUUUUUUAUUUCCUUUUUUUUAGUUUGGUGCUGAAUAUGUCCUUGUAGACGCUGUUUAAAGAAAAUGACACGUGGAAAACCAUUUAAUUUUUUCUAUUGCCCUUCCUUGUUGAUAAUAAACUUUUUUUAACAAAAAAAGAA